AUUGAACGCUGGCGGCAGGCCUAACACAUGCAAGUCGAGCGGAUGAAGGGAGCUUGCUCCUGGAUUCAGCGGCGGACGGGUGAGUAAUGCCUAGGAAUCUGCCUGGUCGUGGGGGAUAACGUCCGGAAACGGGCGCUAAUACCGCAUACGUCCAGAGGGAGAAAGUGGGGGAUCUUCGGACCUCACGCUAUCAGAUGAGCCUAGGUCGGAUUAGCUAGUUGGAGGGGUAAAGGCCUACCAAGGCGACGAUCCGUAACUGGUCUGAGAGGAUGAUCAGUCACACUGGAACUGAGACACGGUCCAGACUCCUACGGGAGGCAGCAGUGGGGAAUAUUGGACAAUGGGCGAAAGCCUGAUCCAGCCAUGCCGCGUGUGUGAAGAAGGUCUUCGGAUUGUAAAGCACUGUAAGUUGGGAGGAAGGGCAGUAAGUUAAUACCUUGCUGUUUUGACGUUACCAACAGAAUAAGCACCGGCUAACUUCGUG
rnacentral:rRNA from 1 species